UGACCGCUUUCAUUUUUACAAUCCAUCAUCAAUUUAAUAUCUCUCUCACAUCUUCAUUUUAAUUGCAUAAAUAUCGACUAGUUUUUACCAUAACGCAAGCAAAAUGAACGCGUUUCGAGUAUUCAAUUUGAUAGUGCUGAGCUGCCUUAAAAGUACAUUUGAAGAAAUGACUUGACUUGCUCGUCGCGUAUCUCGAAAACUUGGCGCCAUUAAAUUUCUGGAAACUGCGAGAGGAUGUAUUUCUUAAUUAAGUGCGAGCAAUAUUAUGUAUUGCAUAAAAAAAAAUUAAAAUAGUGGAAGGAAGUAAAAUGUGCAUUGCAAAAUUUAGCAAAGGCAGUUUCGAAGCGGAGAUUAUUGAUUCGCGAGAAGAUCGUGAAAUACUGGACCAGCAAUGUCAAUAACUUAAUAAGGACUUACUAGAAGCAGAUACUAAGUUAAAUGAAAGUGAAGCAACAACGAACGAUGAUAAAUCCGAGGAGCCAUUAGCAGCUUAUAAGUCAAAUACUGACACAACAAAUAAAAGCAACCUGGGACAAUUUGAAGCUUUCGCUAUUUUGUGUUCGUUUCAGGUGUCUUGUGCCCGUCUUAUAUUAACAUGUAAAAUAAAUAAAUGUAUUAAUAAAAUACUUAUACCUUAACAUAAUAGACAAAGACUGGCCUCUAAAUGGCUAGAUUCCCCAGCAUAAGCAUUUUAUACAUUUAAAUCGCUUGCUAGUUUGUGUUCGUUUCAACUGUCUUGUGCUCGUCUUAUAUUUAUAUAUUUCUAACAAAGAUGCAUCCGAACAAUUUAUAAACACAACUCAAAAUACAUCGGCUAAUAGUGGAUCUUUAGGAUAGGAUAGAUUCAUCGGCAAAAAAUCAAAAUCAUUCCACGAUAAACGAUUCAUUUCAAUCGCUUAAUACUAAUUGUCCAGAUUCCACGCAAGGAUUCGAUUCCAGUUAUGCUCCGGAUAUAACUAACCGGUCCAGCAUUUUAAAUAAUUCCAACAUUAAACAAGUUUUUUCUUACACAACCCUUUUUUAAAACCCAAACAAAUUGUAAGAAACAUUUUUGCUUAUUUUGCAAUAAAUUGCAAACAAAAUUUGCUCGUCACUUGCAGAUUGUUCAUAAAAAUGAGCUGCAAGUACAAAAAUGUUUGUUCCUGUCGAAAAAUGACAAAACUCGCAGAUUACUUAUUGAUGAGAUUAGGAAAAAUGGUGAUUAUAUCCAUUAUAUCGAUGCAUCGUUAAAUAACGGAACUCUAAUCGUGCCUCGUCAAAAGCGUGUAAACUCUAAAAACGAAGCGGUUGAUUUCAUAUGUGGCAAGGAAUGUUCCGGAUUUUUCCCCAAAAGCACAAUACGGAGUCAUAUUAAUAAUUGCAAAGGGAGCGAUCAUAAGAAAGGAACUCGUGACUUGCUUAAACAAGGUCGCUCCAAAACUUGCUUCAAAACGGCUUCAUCCAUAAAAGUGCAAAUGACGUUGUGCGCACAAAAAUAAUGCCUGUUUUAAAUGAUGAUCCCAUUUCUAGAAAUCUUAUAUAUGAUGAAUUGAUUGUUUUAUUCGCAAACGCAGAAUCUAUGAAGCACGGCGAACUUCAGUACGAUAUGAUCAGAGCAAACAUGAGAUUGCUCAGCAGACUUUUACAUGAAAUAAAAAAAUCAGAAUCUAAUGAGAUACAGGAACUUAUAGACGCCAUUAAUCCCAAACAUUUGGAUUUGAUGAUAUCUUGUAUCAGAAAAGUGGCUCAGUGGGACUCUUCUUCGAUGUUUUUUAAAACACCUUCAGUUGCAACGAACCUUACAACUCUAAUUAAAAAGUGCGCAAAAAUAUUGUGGACUCAUUGCAUUAAAACACAAAAUCAUGCAAAAAAAAA